GAUGAACGCUGGCGGCGUGCCUAAUACAUGCAAGUCGAGCGAACAGAUGAGAAGCUUGCUUCUCUGAUGUUAGCGGCGGACGGGUGAGUAACACGUGGGUAACCUACCUAUAAGACUGGGAUAACUCCGGGAAACCGGGGCUAAUACCGGAUAAUAUUUUGAACCGCAUGGUUCAAUAGUGAAAGACGGUUUCGGCUGUCACUUAUAGAUGGACCCGCGCCGUAUUAGCUAGUUGGUAAGGUAACGGCUUACCAAGGCGACGAUACGUAGCCGACCGGAGAGGGUGAUCGGCCACACUGGAACUGAGACACGGUCCAGACUCCUACGGGAGGCAGCAGUAGGGAAUCUUCCGCAAUGGGCGAAAGCCUGACGGAGCAACGCCGCGUGAGUGAUGAAGGUCUUCGGAUCGUAAAACUCUGUUAUUAGGGAAGAACAAACGUGCAAGUAACUGUGCACGUCUUGACGGUACCUAAUCAGAAAGCCACGGCUAACUACGUGCCAGCAGCCGCCGUAA
rnacentral:rRNA from 1 species